AUGAAUAAGGACCGGCUAAUUCCGUGCCAGCAGCCGCGGUAAUACGGAAGGUCCAGGCGUUAUCCGGAUUUAUUGGGUUUAAAGGGAGCGUAGGCCGUUUGGUAAGCGUGUUGUGAAAUGUCGGGGCUCAACCUGGGCAUUGCAGCGCGAACUGCCAGACUUGAGUGCGCAGGAAGUAGGCGGAAUUCGUCGUGUAGCGGUGAAAUGCUUAGAUAUGACGAAGAACUCCGAUUGCGAAGGCAGCCUGCUGUAGCGCAACUGACGCUGAAGCUCGAAAGCGUGGGUAUCGAACAGGAUUAGAUACCCUGGUAGUCCACGCGGUAAACGAUGGAUGCUCGCUGUUUGCGUCUGACGUAAGCGGCCAAGCGAAAGCGUUAAGCAUCCCACCUGGGGAGUACGCCGGCAACGGUGAAACUCAAAGGAAUUGACGGGGGCCCGCACAAGCGGAGGAACAUGUGGUUUAAUUCGAUGAUACGCGAGGAACCUUACCCGGGCUUGAAUUGCAGAGGAAGGAUUUGGAGACAAUGACGCCCUUCGGGGUCUCUGUGAAGGUGCUGCAUGGUUGUCGUCAGCUCGUGCCGUGAGGUGUCGGCUUAAGUGCCAUAACGAGCGCAACCCCUCUCCUUAGUUGCCAUCAGGUCAUGCUGGGCACUCUGGGGACACUGCCACCGUAAGGUGUGAGGAAGGUGGGGAUGACG
rnacentral:rRNA from 1 species